rfam:Neotoma lepida isolate 417 scaffold_290, whole genome shotgun sequence.
AUGCUCACUUUGGCAGUAUAUAUACUAAAAUUGGAAAGAUUAUACAGAUUAGCACGGCCCUUGUGCAAGCAUGACAUGCAAAUUCAUGAGUCUUUUCAUAUUUUU